CAAGCAUUACUUUUGUGUUUAAAGAGCAAGUAACGUCUAAAUAAACUUUUUUUUUUCGCUGAUGAGCUGUAUAAAUGAGUGUCUAAUAGUGUUUUAAAUGUGUGUAAUCAUUAUUUUAGCAUUUUGGUGCAUUUUCUUUAAAAAUUAGAAAUUCUGCCUAAAUACCACAGUAUAGCGCCACCUUCAGCUUAAAACAUAGAGUUUGAGUCAUUUUGAAUAAAUUUUAGCCAAUGGCUAAAGAGAAAGAUACUACGUAAACCAGUAGAGUACUACGUAGCAGCUCUCUGUCAAAGUUAUGAAAGCAUCGAGAGUCUUGGCCACGCCUUGUGGCAAGUUGGGAGUUGGAUUUGCAAGCGAGUGUAGGACAGUUAGCAGUAGAUCAGCAUUAGCAUAUAGCAUUAGCAUAUCCUAAUCUUUAGCAUAGCUUUUAGUGUUAUACAUACUUAUUUAGUGUUAGCUUGGCUGUUGGAUAUUGUAGUUUAGUUAGUGUUUGGCUGUUAGUGUAAUUAGGAAAGUAGUUCGGGUUUAGUGCUCCAUAUCGUGUUAGUGUGGUGAGAAGGUGUAGUGUAGUGGGUUCGGUGGCUCUGUGGGGUUGCACUCCUUUCCGCUGGACUUAGAAAUUAGGCGCCAGCGGUUGCGCGCAAUCGGUGUCUGGAAAACAGUCAGCUCCCGCCUGGUGCUGUAGUUUGCAACCAGCAUUUUACCCGCGAUUCCUUCGCCAACAUGAUGGAGUUUGAACAGGGUUAUUCUGCACGUCUCCGUUUGAAGAGGGAGGCCGUGCCCACCGUGGCUCUUCCGCGAUUCAGAUGCAGCCUACCGACUCUGCUCCCCCACCAUGGCGGGCUCCAGUCUGAGGUGAGUAAGCUAAAUAAAAUUUUUAACAUCUUCUAAAGACAAUUCCCUACCUAAAUGCAAAGUUUGAGAGACGUGGUUCACUUAAUUUAGCUAACAUCAGUCUGCACUGCCUUCGGGCUGAUUUGUCAAAAAUGUGGAACGAGAUGUGGCCGACGAAACGGUCCACAUGACUAUUACUGUCUGGCUCAGAGAAAAUUCAGGUUGUUUUUGUGUCAGUCCGCAAUUCUGCAACAGUGGCUCUAGCUAACGCAGCACUAGUUGACAUACAUCAUUACAGCGUGAAAUCCAGCACAGCGUGACCCGGUUCUGUGAGGAAUUCUGUUCAGGAGGUCGCAUUUCAGGCUCUCUUCACAUCAUAUGUGACUGACUUUUACGUUAUAAUAACGAUCACACACUAGGAAUGUUAUAAAGUGCCUAUAUAGGACAGUUUCUUUUGUAUAUUAUCUGACUUUAUAAACUCCAACAACAACGUGCUUCAAUUUUUUUUCAGGCUAAAUCUAUCCAAGACAUUGGCUGUCAGACUGAUUUAGUAGUCUGCAAGAACGCAUUUGUCCAGGCUGACGUGAAGCCUUACCUGUAGCAAAGAUGAAUUAUUUUUAAUAAUCUUCUAAACAUUUUAUUAUCACGUUCUAGUUUUAAUUUGUUUUACAGAUUAUUGUUACACGUGAUUUUAUGCUCUUUUAAUCAUUUAUAAAUGUGCUGCUUCUUUGUUUUUACAUAGCCACCCAGAAUAGAGCUCACAGCCGCAGUGUGUCUUGUGACACAGGGACCAUGACGGAAAUUCAUCUUCCAGAAAGUCUGAGAGCAGCGUCCACACCCCUGAAAAGACCAAGAUGUGAGGUGUCUGCUGUUGAUUCCAGCUUCCACCUCAGUGACAGUGCAAGCUCAGUGAACUGUUCAAGGUAAAAAAAAAUUAAAACAUUUCAGAAUUUUUAAGAUAUUAACAAUUAAAUAUGUGAUUACAUCCUGACAUCAUGAAGGGGGCUACUGAUUCUGGCCCUGUGACACUUGGUGGUGACGUGUGAGCUGAUUCACCUGGACACUCAGCAAAAUAUCGACUCUACACCAUGAGGCAGGCAUGCGUUAAUACUCUAUAAGAGCACAUAAGCAUGAGGAUGUCCUCACACACCUGUAACCUAUCAGCUCAUCUGGCAGAAUAGAGAGAGAAGAGACAACACCACAUAUCCUGUUCCUGGAAAGCCUUCAGCCAUCCUUCGAUGACUGAGAACCUCCAUCAGCUCUGUCUCCUGUCUGCCUACAAUUAUUAUAAUAAAUAUUGUGUUUGACAAGUUUUUUGUGCUGCCAAAUGUCUCAUUUUGAUUCCAGUUUUGAUAUUUUAAUGGAUAUUUAUAAAUUACAUUGAUUAUCACAUUUUAGUUGCAUGUUUAACUAGCUCUAUUGUGAUGAAUUAAACUAGCACCUCACUGUUAAAAGCUCGUUUUAAUUUCAAGCAUGUUUAUGUAUUUAUGGACAUGAACAAAAACAGGAAAUAUGUAAAAUGAGAUUUAUUUAAAUAAUAUAACAAAUAAGGGGGAAAGAGUCAUUGAAAGGCACAUUCUUCUGGAAGCUCCUGAUCCUGACGACGCCAGCAGAGGAGACCACCUGCAGACACCAGAGGAUCACCUACAACCAAGAGCAGCUAGUAUCAGUAAAUAAAUAAUGAAAUCAGGGCAGUAUUAGUUGGCUGAACACAUUACAGAAUAAUUUUCUCAUGGGGUAUUUUCAUAACUUUCUAUGCAGCAGACUGUAACUUGAGCCCAGGGCUCCUGGAGAGCUGCUAUCCAGCACGUUUCAGUGGUUUUCCUGCUUUAACAGGUUAGAUUAGCUGUUAA